rnacentral:snRNA from 1 species
AACCGAUAUGUCCAAAUGGAGGA